rnacentral:rRNA from 1 species
GACGAACGCUGGCGGCGUGCCUAAUACAUGCAAGUCGAACGCAGUGGGGACGGGUGAGUAACACGUGGGUAACCUCCCAUCAGAGGGGAUAACACUUGGAAACAGGUGCUAAACCGAUACUGAUGGAUGGACCCGCGGUGCAUUAGCUAGUUGGUGAGGUAACGGCUCACCAAGGCCACGAUGCAUAGCCGACCUGAGAGGGGAAUAACCCCCCCUGGGACUGAGAAACGGCCCAGACUCCACCCAUAACCACAAAUACAUAAUCUUCUGCAAUGAACGAAAGUCUGACCGAGCAACGCAGCGGGAGUGAAGAAUUUUUUCGGAUCUUAACACUCUGUUGUUAGAGAAGCGGUAUCUAACCAGAAAGCCACGGCUAACUACGUGCCAGCAGCCGCGGUAAUAC